UACGUAGGUGGCAAGCGUUGUCCGGAAUUAUUGGGCGUAAAGCGCGCGCAGGCGGUCUCUUAAGUCUGAUGUGAAAGCCCACGGCUCAACCGUGGAGGGUCAUUGGAAACUGGGGGACUUGAGUGCAGAAGAGGAAAGCGGAAUUCCACGUGUAGCGGUGAAAUGCGUAGAGAUGUGGAGGAACACCGGUGGCGAAGGCGGCUUUCUGGUCUGUAACUGACGCUGAGGCGCGAAAGCGUGGGGAGCAAACAGG
rnacentral:rRNA from 1 species